GACGAACGCUGGCGGCGUGCCUAAUACAUGCAAGUCGAACGAGAGCAACCGGUGCUUGCACUGGUCAAUCUAGUGGCGAACGGGUGAGUAACACGUGGGUAACCUGCCCAUCAGAGGGGGAUAACAUCCGGAAACGGAUGCUAAAACCGCAUAGGUCUUCGAACCGCAUGGUUUGAAGAGGAAAAGAGGCGCAAGCUUCUGCUGAUGGAUGGACCCGCGGUGCAUUAGCUAGUUGGUGAGGUAACGGCUCACCAAGGCCGUGAUGCAUAGCCGACCUGAGAGGGUGAUCGGCCACAUUGGGACUGAGACACGGCCCAAACUCCUACGGGAGGCAGCAGUAGGGAAUCUUCCGCAAUGGACGCAAGUCUGACGGAGCAACGCCGCGUGAGUGAAGAAGGUUUUCGGAUCGUAAAACUCUGUUGUUAGAGAAGAACAAGUGCUAGAGUAACUGUUAGCGCCUUGACGGUAUCUAACCAUAAAGCCACGGCUAACUACGUG
rnacentral:rRNA from 1 species